AAUUGAAGAAAAUAUAAAUUUUGAUCCAGUAAACUUCACGGGGAGGAUAUCAAGAUUACACAAGCUAAUCAGGAGGAGAGGUAAUUUCCUUCAUCAUACACUGUGAGGCCAGUAUCACUCAAUGAAAUCCAACUUCUUUACAGCCUACUUCUUCAGGAUUCCAGCAUCUACUGAAGACCCUCUGACAUAUCCAGCCUUGUGAACUGAACAAUUUCUGGAUUCUUGGAACUUCUUUUCA